rnacentral:lncRNA from 1 species
UUUUAUGAAUUUACAUUUUGGUCAUUGCUUCUAAUUUGUUUGUUUGCCUUCUUCUUCUUCUUCCAUCUCUAUUUUUUGUUCUCCUCUUUUUUGUUGUAGACUACAUGGAUAAUGCUAUGAAAAGUACAUGGAUAAUGCUAUGAAAAAUAUCACAGCACCUAACAAUCACAAAUUCCCCAAUUUAUAACAUAUCAAAAACCCUAAUAUUGAUUCCCCAAUUGCCUUCUUCUUGCUCUUCCUCUCUGCGUGAAAGCAAAACCCAGCACCCAUAGACCCAAAAUCAAUUUUUCACCAUUCCUGGCAAUUAAGAAUCAUUGUAUGUGAAAUAUUUGGAAUAGAUAUCCAUCAAAAUUAUCCAUGAGCGGAGAAACAUAGGUUUCCACCGUCGCCGCCGUUGCAAUCUAAUUACCAAAAUUCAAUUUGUACGCAGAUAACAUUCUUGAUAAGGUUUCCACCUUCGCCACCGUUGCAAUCUAAUUACCAAAAUUCAAGAUGAACCGUUGCCACCGCCGUUGCAAUCUGUAACCCCCACCGUCUGUUUCAGUUUUCUUCUCACACUGCCGUCAGUUAUCUAGUUCAUUGCCUGUCAAAUAGAGAUGGAAGAAGAAGAAGGCAAACAAACAAAUUAGAAGCAAUGACCAAAAUGUAAAUUCAUAAAAUAUAAUACUUAAAAUAUAAUUAAUUUAAAAN